UCUCAAUUGCCCAGAUGAGCUCAACCGCCU
rnacentral:piRNA from 1 species